UACGUAGGGCGCAAGCGUUAUCCGGAAUUAUUGGGCGUAAAGAGCUCGUAGGCGGUUUGUCGCGUCUGCCGUGAAAGUCCGGGGCUCAACUCCGGAUCUGCGGUGGGUACGGGCAGAUUAGAGUGAUGUAGGGGGAGACUGGAAUUCCUGGUGUAGCGGUGAAAUGCGCAGAUAUCAGGAGGAACACCGAUGGCGAAGGCAGCUCGCUGGGACGGGUACUGACGCUGAGGCGCGAAAGCGUGGGGGAGCAAACAGG
rnacentral:rRNA from 1 species